rnacentral:lncRNA from 1 species
GUAUGUCUUAAUUGACUUCCACGUCGAUGAAGGUUCUUGCUCAUAUCUUGAAAGAGUAUGUCUUAAUUACUACAAGGUGAGCAUUUUACCACAAAUGAAUGUCGUAUUCUUUAACUUUGAUUCAACUAUUGUUUCCAAACCCUAGAUUGUAAUAGUAAUAGCAUAAUGUAGGUAAAAUUAAGGGGGGAAAUGAGGAGGGUCUCAAAAUCCAAGAAACUUCAGUUCAACUUCAGCAAAAUAUAAGAUUGCAGAGAAGAGCAUAUAUUGUUUCCUUUCGCAUGUCCUCGUUCAUAGAGUUCACAAAAAAAAAAAAAAAAAAAAAACCCUUCAACUAUUGUUUCCAAACCCUAGAUUGUAAUAGUAAUAGCAUAAUGUAGGUAAAAUUAAGGGGGGAAAUGAGGAGGGUCUCAAAAUCCAAGAAACUUCAGUUCAACUUCAGCAAAAUAUAAGAUUGCAGAGAAGAGCAUAUAUUGUUUCCUUUCGCAUGUCCUCGUUCAUAGAGUUCACAAAAAAAAAAAAAAAAAAAAAACACCUUUUUGUUCUCUGUAAAUAAGUAUGUACUAAUACAGUAUUCGUUAACUCCCAUGCUGAUGAAACUUUUUCUCACAGGUCUUGAAAGAAUAAAUUCUAUGGGCCAAAUUAUGUUUCUGGAAUUUCUUCAGAAGAGCGAAUGUCGUGAUUUAUAAACUUUUAACUUCAACUCAAUUACUAAUAGAAAGCCCUAGGUAGCACUAGCAUAAGUAAAUUAAAGAAAAGAACGAUUAGAGUACAUAAAUCUAGUGGACAAAAUUUUCUUUUCUUCAGAAGGCAGAGUUAAAAGACAAGUUUCUCUUCUGAAUUUAAUUUCUCAUGUUUAUUAGUCUACCCUUACAUUAAUAGGUUUAUAAGAUGCCUAUUUUGAAUAGAGUGAACUCUUUGCAUACAGAUCAAAGAUUACAGAAAGAAAUAAAUAAUUGACAAUAUUAACAAAAUAAUCAAAAGCUUAGUCCCUGUUUGACGACCAUUAUUUUGGGGAAAAAAAGAUAUUUUGAACAGUUAUUUUCUGGAGAAUAUGUGAUUAAAAAGUAGAGAAAAGUUGAGUUUACAUGUAAAAUAUUUUAUUGUAUAAGUGUGGUUGAAAAUGAGUAUGAGAAUUAAAGAGUUUUGAAAUAAUGAUUG